rnacentral:rRNA from 1 species
AGAUUGAACGCUGGCGGCAGGCCUAACACAUGCAAGUCGAGCGGUAGAGAGGUGCUUGCAUCUCUUGAGAGCGGCGGACGGGUGAGUAAUGCCUAGGAAUCUGCCUAGUGGUGGGGGAUAACGUUCGGAAACGGACGCUAAUACCGCAUACGUCCUACGGGAGAAAGCGGGGGACCUUCGGGCCUCGCGCCAUUAGAUGAGCCUAGGUCGGAUUAGCUAGUUGGUGAGGUAAUGGCUCACCAAGGCGACGAUCCGUAACUGGUCUGAGAGGAUGAUCAGUCCACACUGGAACUGAGACACGGUCCAGACUCCUACGGGAGCAGCAGUGGGAAUAUGGACAAUGGGACGAAAGCCUGAUCCAGCCAUGCCGCGUGUGUGAAGAAAGGUCUUACGGAUUAGUAAAAGCUAAACUUUAAGGUUGGAAGGUAAAGGUUGUUAAACCGUUAAA